GACGAACGCUGGCGGCGUGUUUAACACAUGCAAGUCGAACGCUAAAGCUUGGUGCUUGCACUGGGUGGAUGAGUGGCGAACGGGUGAGUAAUAAGUGAGUAACCUGCCCUUGACUCUGGGAUAAGCCUGGGAAACUGGGUCUAAUACUGGAUACGACAUGUCACCGCAUGGUGGUGUGUGGAAAGGGUUUUACUGGUUUUGGAUGGGCUCACGGCCUAUCAGCUUGUUGGUGGGGUAAUGGCUCACCAAGGCGACGACGGGUAGCCGGCCUGAGAGGGUGACCGGCCACACUGGGACUGAGACACGGCCCAGACUCCUACGGGAGGCAGCAGUGGGGAAUAUUGCACAAUGGGCGGAAGCCUGAUGCAGCGACGCCGCGUGAGGGAUGACGGCCUUCGGGUUGUAAACCUCUUUCAGCACGGAAGAAGCGAAAGUGACGGUACGUGCAGAAGAAGCGCCGGCUAACUACGUG
rnacentral:rRNA from 1 species